CGCAUUGCUCGAAGACUUCGAACAUCUUCAAAUACCCCGUAGGAAAACAUUGGUUCAAUGCUGUUCUAUGGGGAAGUUUAGAUACGCGCGGAGAGUGCACUAGGUCCCACCAUUGCCGUGACAUUGCGGGAGGUGGAGACUUAGCCAUGGCGCUGGAAAGAGGUAAGAUGAAAUUGGGGUUUUAACCCUUUAAUUGUCAGAC